rnacentral:rRNA from 1 species
GAUGAACGCUGGCGGCGUGCCUAAUACAUGCAAGUUGAGCGAACGGACGAGAAGCUUGCUUCUCUGAUGUUAGCGGCGGACGGGUGAGUAACACGUGGAUAACCUACCUAUAAGACUGGGAUAACUUCGGGAAACCGGAGCUAAUACCGGAUAAUAUUUUGAACCGCAUGGUUCAAAAGUGAAAGACGGUCUUGCUGUCACUUAUAGAUGGAUCCGCGCUGCAUUAGCUAGUUGGUAAGGUAACGGCUUACCAAGGCAACGAUGCAUAGCCGACCUGAGAGGGUGAUCGGCCACACUGGAACUGAGACACGGUCCAGACUCCUACGGGAGGCAGCAGUAGGGAAUCUUCCGCAAUGGGCGAAAGCAUGACGGAGCAACGCCGCGUGAGUGAUGAAGGUCUUCGGAUCGUAAAACUCUGUUAUUAGGGAAGAACAUAUGUGUAAGUAACUGUGCACAUCUUGACGGUACCUAAUCAGAAAGCCACGGCUAACUACGUG